GUAGGAGUGUGUAUGAAGGUUGUGAGUAGGUCAACAUGGAAUCGAUCGCUCCUAGUAAGAGGAGAUCGCAUCCUAUGUAUUCUCAUUCGUAGAUGACUCAGGAAAAAGUCUUUUGGUCAAAAGUAGGAAGGAGAUUAGAAAGAGUUUCUAAUGCUUCUUCAUUGAAGUCAUCAUUAGUUAAUUAAGAAUCAAUAUGAAUGUGUGUUUGAGUUUGACAUGAUUCCAUACUCAUGAAUAUAUUCAGGGUGCUGGGAUGAUCGAAGGAUUG
rnacentral:lncRNA from 1 species